rnacentral:lncRNA from 1 species
UGGCUCUGAAGGGCUUGACUGUACAACAGUGGGAUGCUCUCUAUACAGAUCUUCCAAACAGACAACUUAAAGUUCAGGUUGCAGACAGGAGAGUUAUUAGCACUACCGAUGCUGAAAGACAAGCAGUUACACCCCCAGGAUUACAGGAGGCAAUCAAUGACCUGGUGAAGAAGUACAAGCUUUCUCGAGCUUUUGUCCGGCCCUCUGGUACAGAAGAUGUCGUCCGAGUAUAUGCAGAAGCAGACUCACAAGAAAGUGCAGAUCACCUUGCACAUGAAGUGAGCUUGGCAGUAUUUCAGCUGGCUGGAGGAAUUGGAGAAAGGCCCCAACCAGGUUUCUGAAGAUAAUUUUCAUAUUCCUGAGAAACUGGACUUUUUACAAGUCUUUACAAAACUGUCAAUAAUAAUGGCAGUACUAAGAGAUUUAUAAUCAUAAUGUUUACAAUGCAGCCUACUGGAUUGUCUCUAGAUCUGUUUUUCUUAAACACUAACAGAAUAAUUCUUUAUAAAUAGUAACUAACAUCUUGACAAAGAGGAUAAACUGAUUUUGGUUCUUGUCAUGGAAGAUAAAAAGUCAGUAUCAUGAGCAUACUAUUUCAUGUCCCU